GAUGAACGCUGGCGGCGUGCCUAAUACAUGCAAGUCGAGCGAACAGACGAGAGUGCUUGCACUCUCUGACGUUAGCGGCGGACGGGUGAGUAACACGUGGGUAACCUACCUAUAAGACUGGGAUAACUUCGGGAAACCGGAGCUAAUACCGGAUAAUAUUUAGCUUCGCACGAAGCAAUAGUGAAAGACGGUUCUGCUGUCACUUAUAGAUGGACCCGCGGUGUAUUAGCUAGUUGGUGAGGUAACGGCUCACCAAGGCAACGAUACAUAGCCGACCUGGGAGGGUGAUCGGCCACACUGGGACUGAGACACGGCCCAGACUCCUACGGGAGGCAGCAGUAGGGAAUCUUCCGCAAUGGACGAAAGUCUGACGGAGCAAUGCCGCGUGAGUGAAGAAGGUUUUCGGAUCGUAAAACUCUGUUGUAAGGGAAGAACAAGUACGUUAGUAACUGAACGUACCUUGACGGUACCUUACCAGAAAGCCACGGCUAACUACGUG
rnacentral:rRNA from 1 species